GCAAAACGCGAAGAACCUUACCCACCCUUGACAUGUACGGAAUCCUUUAGAGAUAGAGGAGUGCUCGAAAGAGAGCCGUAACACAGGUGCUGCAUGGCUGUCGUCAGCUCGUGUCGUGAGAUGUUGGGUUAAGUCCCGCAACGAGCGCAACCCUUGCCAUUAGUUGCUACAUUUAGUUGAGCACUCUAAUGGGACUGCCGGUGACAAACCGGAGGAAGGUGGGGAUGACGUCAAGUCCUCAUGGCCCUUAUAGGUGGGGCUACACACGUCAUACAAUGGCUGGUACAAAGGGUUGCCAACCCGCGAGGGGGAGCUAAUCCCAUAAAGCCAGUCGUAGUCCGGAUCGCAGUCUGCAACUCGACUGCGUGAAGUCGGAAUCGCUAGUAAUCGUGGAUCAGAAUGUCACGGUGAAUACGUUCCCGGGUCUUGUACACACCG
rnacentral:rRNA from 1 species